AUCUCUUGGCUCUCGCAUCGAUGAAGAACGCAGCGAAAUGCGAUAAGUAAUGUGAAUUGCAGAAUUCAGUGAAUCAUCGAAUCUUUGAACGCACCUUGCGCUCCUUGGUAUUCCGAGGAGCAUGCCUGUUUGAGUGUCAUUAAAUUCUCAACUUCAUCACUUGUGUUGAAGCUUGGAUGUGGGGGUUGUGCAGAACGCGUAACGGUGGUCUGCUCCCCUUAAAUGAAUUAGCGAGUUCAAACUGAGCUCUGUCUAUUGGUGUGAUAAUUAUCUACGCCGUGGAUUGGACUUAGACUUGCUUCUAAUCGUCCGCAAGGACAAUACUUUGACAAUUUGACCUCAAAUCAGGUAGGACUACCCGCUGAACUUAAGCAUAUCAAUAAGCGGAGGAAAAGAAACU
rnacentral:rRNA from 1 species